UCGAUGUUCAGAGGAAGGGUUAUGUCAGCUGGUUCAUGUCCGCUGUUUGUCCGUGGUGCUCUUAUUAACACUUAAUUUGUGAUGUUUGUAGAUCACUUGCGGUGUUACUUCACUGAUAUUUUGUCCUUGGUGCUAUAAAUGUUAUAUUUGACCAGAUAACCUCUCACUCACACGCAUGAACCCUUGCAAGUAAUUGAACUGUGAAGAAUUAGCAGCAAUGAAUCUGAAAUAGUAUUAGUACAACCAUCACAACAGUCACCACUGCUAAAUACUACUACUACUACAACAGUGAAGUGGUGUCCAUUAGAGGUGAUGACUGUGUUGGUGAUAGAACCCUGGCAGGAAGAGGUGACGUUGCCUUGGAUAUUCAGAGUGAGGGAGACUGGCAGAAGACACAAGAUUGAUCCAGACACUGGGGUUAUUACUGUGGCCUCUGCUCUCAACCGGGAAGAGAGGAGCACCUUCAACCUCCUCAUUGAGGCUUGGGACAACUACCAGUUUGGGUAUGCAACUGGGGAAUCCAGGAAUGCCUUCAUGCAGCUUGGUGUGACAGUUGCUGACAUCAAUGAUGAAGUGCCUGUGUUUGAGGAGCGGGAAGACUGCACCAUGAUUACCGAGUUUCACCAGCCUCGGGAAACCAUCACUGUGGUGCAUGCCACUGAUGGUGAUGACAUAAACUCACCCAAUGGCAGGAUCCUUUUUUCCAUUGAAGGUGGAAAUGAGAAAGGUCCGUUUGAGAUCCGCAAUAUAGAAAAAACAGCAGCUGAAAUAUUUGCUGCCAAGCCCCUUGUUGGCCAUUAUGGAAACUAUUCAUUGGAGGUUCAAGCACAAGACAGAGGAUUCCCACCAAACUCUGUUUUGUCUCAUAUUAAUAUAUGUGUACUAGACUUGAAUGACCAUGCUCCACAGUUUGUCUCUCCAUCUGAAAAUGUUACAAUCAAAGUGCCAGAGAAUGGUACUGUUGGGAGCCUGGUGAUACAGGUGAGAGCUACAGAUCAGGACAUUGGCAUCAAUGGAGCAGUCCGUUACAGGAUCCUAAAAGACACUUUGGGACACUGGCAGACCUUCACCAUAGAUCAGACAACAGGAGCCAUAUUGCUGCAAAAGCCUCUUGACAGGGAGAGACAGAAGCUCUAUGAGAUACCAGGAUAUGUGACCACCACCACCACCCUCACCACCACCACCACCACCACCACCACCACCACCACCACCACCACCACCACUACCACCACCACCACCACCAUUGGAGAUGCCCCUCUGUAGUUGCACAUUACGGCCCUGUUGUGUACCCUGGUGGCCUUCAUAGUUGACCGCUGAGUGCAGCUGUCGGUGACUGCAGGAAUGGACCUCAGAUGGCGGACACAACAGCAUUACCAAGUCAAGAAGUUGUCCAGUAUUUUAUCUCUGCUCUCAAACAAGCAAUGACCAGUGGUGGUGUUGUUCAUGUCUGGCUUGUGUGUGUGUGUGUGUGUGUGUGUGUGUGUGUGUGUGUGUGUGUGUGUGUGUGUGUGUGUGUGUGUGUGUGUGUGUGUGUGAGUUUGUUCAUCCAUUAUGAUUUGAAGAGAUUGUGUUUGUAUUUUUAUUGUGGGACUCUGUGAUUAUACUUUGAAAUGAUACGGCCUUAAAAUUGACCUUUGACCCUGUGUGGUAGUGGAGUGAGGCUUGUGACAGUUAGGAAUUGGUUGUCAAAAAGUGACCACAUUGGUUUUUCCUCAGUUGCUUUAGCCAUGAAAGUUCUAUUCCUUGUGUUCUUUGUCAUGAUGAUGUUUGAUUCCCUUGGUUUCCAAUUGGUUGCCUUUGUGUGAGUUUUGAUCCAGUCAUUUACUUCCCUACUUACUGAAUUCCAGGAAACAAAGGGAUUGCUUGCUCCUUUUGCUUCCUUGUGGACAAAUUCACUGCUAAUAGUUUGUUAUUUGGAAGUUUGAUUGAAGGCUUGUUCCUCCCUCUCCUCCACCCUAUGACUACUUGAUGCUAUCUAGUAAAAUUCUUCACAAUGAUGUUUUCCAUGCCUUCGCUGCCCUAAACCCUUGGAAAGCUUGGAGGGGUCCCUCCUCUUGUUCUUCAAAACUGCAUUUCUGUGCUUGCACCUUGCCAAGUCAAACUCUUUCAACUCUGUGUGUCAACAUGUAAUAAUAUUACUUCUUGCUGGAAGUUUGCCUACAUUCAGCCUGUUCCUGAAAAGGGUGACCAUUCUAAUCCCUCAUACUACUGUCCUGUUGCUUUAAUUUUCUGCCUAUCUGAAGUUUUUGAAUUUAUCCUCAAAAGGAAGAUUCUUAAACAUCUAUCACUUGACAACUUUCUAUCUAAUUGCCAGUAUGUGUUCCAUAAUGGCCAGACAAAAGAAAACAUGUGUUCAGUGGCUUCAGCCACCACCAAUGGUCUCUCUUUUUAAGAUUUCCUGCUUAACUAAUGUUUAAGUAUCUCAUUACAAAGAUAAGAAUAUAGAUAUCAUAAAGAUGGUUAUUUAUAUUGAUUAGCAUAUUAGCAUUAUGAAUGUUCCUGUUCAUAUGAUUAUAACUAUCAGCAGAAAAAAUUGUAUAACAUGUGUCAUUCAUUUACUUGAAGCUGCAUUGUCAAGGAAGCUUGAUACACUUUUCAGUGAUGUGUUUAUGUGCUAACAUAUGUGUGCUUGGAGCAUAAAAGAUAGUCUACACUAUAUUUUGACAAAUAAACAGUUGGUAUGAAAAAAUUCCUUUUACCUACAGCACUUACUUAAUUUGCAUUUGGGCACCAUCUCUUUGAAAAUAGUCCAUUUGAGCAGCAAUACAGCAGCACAUUCAGCACUGUUGUCACCCCUGAAACUUAUUCUGGAAGUGUUGUUCUCUAAGCAUGUCAAGCAUCUACUGUUUGUGCAGAAUCAUCUCCACAAUGGACAGAAGAAGCAUCAGGCCAAAGUCUGUCAGGAAUUCUGUCAGCCAGCCAUGAAUGACCCAACCUUCAUGUCAAAGGACAUCUCUGGGAACAAAAUUUGGGUUUACAGGUAUAACCCCCUAACCCAAACAAGUCUUUACAAUAGAAGAGUCCAGCAUCUCCAUGCAGGGCAUGGUUCAGGUCUGGAAAACCACUAAGAGCAUUUUUAUUCAAUGUCUUUGAGAUUCAUAGGAUAGUUCAUCAUGAAUUCAUCCCCCAAAAAAGAUCAUCAACUGCCAGUUCUACUCAAGUGUUUUGAGGCAUCUGAGGACAUUAAUUUUGGCAGAUAUGGCUUGAAAUGUGGUGCAAGGCUAAAUGGAUGCUCCAUGAUGAUGAUGAUGAUGAUGAUGCACCCUCUCUUACAUAUUAUCUCUUAUAAUGCAUGGGCUUCUCAGAUGCAUGAUUAUCCCUUUGCAGCUGCCCUACUCAUCAGAUUUGGUACCAACCCUUGUGACUUGUGUCAUGCUCCCCACAUGGACAUUCAUUCUAUGGAAACAAUGAGAAAUUGAUCUCAAGAUGAGAUAAGUCUUUAGCCAUGACAAGUUGUAGCCAGCCAGGGAUUGAACCUCUCACUGAGAGAACACAAGGAUGACACCUUAGACAUUGAGACCAUGAUGACUGUCAGGUCCCAAGUUCAGUUUUAGGACAUUUAUACUCCUAAUCUCUGCACUUUUUUUUCCUGGAAAUAAUAAAGAUGCAGCUGAA